rnacentral:sRNA from 1 species
GCUGGGUGCAGUGGUGCACACCUGUAAUCCCAGCAGCUCGGGAGGCUGAGACAGGAGGAUCAUAAGUUCAAAGCCAACCUCAGCAAUGGUGAGGUACUAAGCAACUCAGUGAGACCCUGUCUCUA